ensembl:lncRNA
CACGCUCCCGGGUCACAGCGCCCCCUGGCGGCUCCAACGAGGCGAGCCGAGAGCGACACAGCCGAGCGAUCUGAAGGCAUGGAGGAUGAUCAUGUAUAAGGAGGAACAAGAGACCCAAUGCUAUCCAUAGCCAUUCAUGACACUGCCUUACACAGGUUAUACAGCUCUCUUCUCUUCCCAGCCACGAAGACGGUUUUACAGAGUGUAUCGAGGUUCCACAGAGGUUGUGUUAUUUGUGAGAAAUGAUUGUUUGGGACAAUACUUAGGGCUGCAAUUUACUUCGACCUCCUAC